rnacentral:tRNA from 1 species
GAGGGAUGGCUGAGUGGUCGAAAGCGGCGGUCUUGAAAACCGUUGAGGGUAACACCUCCGUGGGUUCGAAUCCUACUCCCUCC